rnacentral:ncRNA from 1 species
UGUCAAAACUAGUAUGGACAAGGGUAAUAUGACUGUUUAGUUAAAGCAAAGCAUUGUGAUGGUCCCUGUGGAUGUUGACUUAAUGUGAUUUAUGCCCAGUUCUCUGGAUAUCAAAGUGAAUAAAUUCAACCUAGCGCAGGUAAACGACGGGAGUAACUAUGAAUCUCUUAAGGUAUCCAUAUGCCUUGGCAUAUAAUUAGUGAUGCACAUGAAUGGAUUAAAGAUAUUCCCACUAUCCCUCACUACUAUAUAGAGAAACCACAACCAAGGGAAUGGGCUUGGAAGAAUUAGCAAGCAAAGAAUACCAUUUUGAGCUUGACUCUAGUUUGACUUUGUGAAAUGACUUGAGAGGUGUAGAAUAAGUGGGAUCUAUUUUCAGUCCAAGUGAAAUACCAUUAAUUUUAACAUUAUUUUACUUAUUUCAUGGGGCAGAGACAAGGCAUUACACAUAUUUUAAAAUAUAACACACAUUUCCUCAAAGUGUUUUCAUUGAUGGCAAUGGUUGAAUGCUCAGUCUUCAUGCACUUGAUGGAAAUGAGUUUAGGAAACCAAAGAGGAUCACUGAUUUUAAGGAUGAAGAAAGUUCCUACAAUCCCUAUUUUUUUAGCCAACAUCCCUU